rnacentral:lncRNA from 1 species
AUUUUUUCCGGCCUACAUUCCUUGAUUUUCUUAUUUUAGAAUCGUCCAUUGAAGGUUCUUGUUCAAUCAUCAGCUGUGCCGACUCAACAAGCAAGAGCUGGCCCUUUCCAGGGUUUAUACUACUAAGAGACAACACAAGCAUAUCCUGGUCAGUCAAUCCCAUUUCUUUCCUAACUGAAUCUCGUAACAGAUUUCUUUUUUCACGCAUUUUCUCAGGGCUAGAAGUUGGAGUAUUUAGUGAACAAGUAAAACCAGCUACAAAAGCCAACUCAUCAUUCACAGAUAGUGGAACAACCGCAGGUUGAGAUCUUAGCUUGAGUUUUUCUUCUUCACACCAGGUAAGCCAUUGUUUGGUCUGUGAUUCAGAAAGAAAAACCAGUAACUUCACUCGAUCAAGAACGAGCUUUGCUCGAUCAAAGUACUCACGUCGAUUUUCCAUGAUCCACCAGACAACUUGACUUCCACCAGCAGGAAAACGAGUUAUAUAUUGAUCUGAAAACAAGAAUAUGAUUCAAAGUUAAUAACAUAUGACAGAUGAAAGUGUGAAGCCUCAAACAAAUCCAAGACCAUACUUCACUCGACCACGUAGCAAUUUAAAAAUUGAAGUUAAAUGAUAAAAAGCGAUAGCAAGGCAACGCAUAGAAUGAUAUUCAAUGUUUUCAAGAAAACAAACACAAGAACGGACUUUUAGUUAUAAGAAAAUAAUUUCAAGUGUUGCCUUGCUGAGAGACAAAUAAUAUUCUAGAGAUGCAAAUGGCAAUUGAAUUGUGCAAUUUCAUAAAGAACUUCAGCAUCUUCUCGACUAUUGUAAUUAUAUUCAAAUGAAAUUAAGGAAAUCAAUGAAUUAUUACCUAAUGACACUCACCAAUCCAUGUUGCACAGACUGCAGAUCCUGCAAUGACAAGAUCUGCCUUCAUUGAAGUUUUGAAGCUCGGUUCUCCUCUGUCCUCAAGCACUUUGAUCUUUCUCCUAGCAAGCUCUGGCAUUAACCCACCCCUCUUACUUAGAACUACAGCUGAAACUGUGGCUCCACAGCUCAAAAGCUCUGUUGCCAACUCCAUCAUAGAAAGAGGAGCCCCAGUCAUUGAAAGUUCAUGGAAUAUCAAAAUGAAUUUCCUGGACCAAACAAAUCGUGCGAAGUCCCCCUUCCGAUCACAAGUCCCUGAUCGCUUUUCUGGACUCCAUUCUAGAAUUCUAUCCUCAGUCAACCCAAAUGGACCAACAAGCAAACCAUAAGAAGCAUUUGUCAUGGGAAUUUCAGGCAGCUGAGCUUCCAUAUAAUUGCUCUCAACAUCCAAUUUCGCCUUCUGUUUACCCCGCCCUUUACCACGCGAACUACGUUUACUCUUCUUCCUUUUAGCUACACUCCGGCGAGAAGCAUCAUUAUUCCUUCUCUGGGUUAAAACCAUAUCCAUUUUUUUAGAAUCUGCCCCCAGAGUUUUAAUGGUUCCAUUAUUUAUGUCCAGGUCACUAUGAUUGGCAAUCAAAUCACGUCGUUUAUUCUGGUUGGAGUCCACAAUCUCAUUUCUGCGUUUACCACCAAACCCCAAGAAUUUGUCAUUGUUCUCACCAUGAGCCCACCUGGACUGGACAUAAAACCCAAGAUAAGUC